CGGGGGGCAGCAGUAAGGAAUAUUGGACAAUGGGGGAAACCCUGAUCCAGCAAUGCCGCGUGAAUGAAGAAGGCCUUCGGGUUGUAAAGUUCUUUCGCUUACGAUGAUAAUGACAGUAGUAAGAUAAGAAGGUCCGGCUAACUCUGUGCCAGCAGCCGCGGUGAGACAGAGGGACCUAGCGUUGUUCGGAAUGACUGGGCGUAAAGGGUGCGUAGGUGGUUACUUAAGUAGGGUGUUAAAUCCUUGGGCUCAACCCAAGAACCGCAUUCUAUACUGGGUGACUGGAGUAUGGGAGAGGAGAUUGGAAUUCCUAGUGUAGAGGUGAAAUUCGUAGAUAUUAGGAGGAACACCAGAGGCGAAGGCGAAUCUCUGGCCCAUUACUGACACUGAGGCACGAAAGCGUGGGGAGCAAACAGGAUUAGAUACCCGAGU
rnacentral:rRNA from 1 species